ensembl:lncRNA LINC02366 long intergenic non-protein coding RNA 2366
AUCAGGGAAAGGGAAAUCUGUAAACACUGGCCGUUGAAGAAUACGGUUUCUGAGAAUUUCCACUCUGAAUUCACAUUCCGUUCAGUGUUAUCGCCACCCUGUGGAUUUCUUGGCUACCUCGCUGGCUUUGAGCACAACCCAGGAAGAAGUUUGAAACCAAGAAAAUGGUGGUUGGGAAGACCAGGAUGCGCAAUGGCAAGUUGAGGGCAAGCGGGGUACGUGUCCUGAAUUUAUAGAAUCUUUUGACACAAAGCAAGAGAGCCACAGUCAAGACUCAAGUCAAAAGAAAUUUAGACCCCAUCUGGGCAAACAGGCCUCUAAGCAACAAUCUAAGAUUUCCACCUAUUGUUCUGGCAUUCCUUGUAUAAAUGAUUAUGACUGCAGAGAUCUUAGGAAGUGCUGUGGUACCUUUAGAUGUGGCCUGAGGUGCAUACAUCCUCUUAUGAUUGGCCCUGUAUUUUUCAAUUCACCUCCACAAUCCAAGGCAUAAAUAUUGGAUGGAGAAAUGGAUUCAGAUGGAGGCAUCAUUGAGCUUAUUCUUGACUCAUCUCAGUCCAAACAUUACUCUGUCAAUCGUUGUUCUUAAAAUCUGCAUAUUAAAAGCUCAGCAUCAACUAUU